GACGAGGUGAUCCUGUGGUUGGCACGAUGGAUUACUAAUCCAUUGGGGUCUCCCAGCGUGAGUUCGAAUCUCAUCGUCGUCG
rnacentral:tRNA from 1 species